GCACAAGCGGUGGAGCAUGUGGUUUAAUUCGAUGCAACGCGAAGAACCUUACCUGGUCUUGACAUCCACAGAACUUUCCAGAGAUGGAUUGGUGCCUUCGGGAACUGUGAGACAGGUGCUGCAUGGCUGUCGUCAGCUCGUGUUGUGAAAUGUUGGGUUAAGUCCCGCAACGAGCGCAACCCUUAUCCUUUGUUGCCAGCGGUCCGGCCGGGAACUCAAAGGAGACUGCCAGUGAUAAACUGGAGGAAGGUGGGGAUGACGUCAAGUCAUCAUGGCCCUUACGACCAGGGCUACACACGUGCUACAAUGGCAUAUACAAAGAGAAGCGACCUCGCGAGAGCAAGCGGACCUCAUAAAGUAUGUCGUAGUCCGGAUUGGAGUCUGCAACUCGACUCCAUGAAGUCGGAAUCGCUAGUAAUCGUAGAUCAGAAUGCUACGGUGAAUACGUUCCCGGGCCUUGUACACACCGCCCGUCACACCAUGGGAGUGGGUUGCAAAAGAAGUAGGUAGCUUAACCUUCGGGAGGGCGCUUACCACUUUGUGAUUCAUGACUGGGGUGAAGUCGUAACAAGGUAACCGUAGGGGAACCUGCGGUUGGAUCACCUCCUUA
rnacentral:rRNA from 1 species